rnacentral:sRNA from 1 species
UCUUUAGACCCUUACAAUUGUUAUUUGAGACAAAGCCCCAGGAUGGGAACAUAGCAAGGCACCUCAUUUAAUGGUGUGUUUGGGUAUCUGGAGAAGA